GUCGUGAUAAUAUUAUAAGAUAUAAUAUAUUAUAUAAUGCUACUGGUGACGGGUUAGCUGUUGACGGUAGAGGUCUACAAGGAAAGAAUUUAGAUCAACUUGAAGCAAAUUUAAAUCGAAUGCCAUAUACUGAUGCAUUAUGGUCUUCAAGAUAUCCUUUACUGGCAGCAAUGGCUAAGAAUAAUAAAACUCAUGGGGCCCCUGAAGGAAACCAAAUCUACAAUAACAUUUACUAUACAGCCAAUAUCACUGGAUUCUUAAAUUAUAAUGGUGCUGUAAACUUAACACAGUAUUAUAAUGUCAC